UUUCUCUGUUCGCAAGGUCUUUGAUUCAGUGCCUCUUUGAGAUUGCUCGGAUUGUGGUUUAGGGUUCGAAUCCCAUUUGUCUGAUUCGUUCCCAAGUUUUUGACUUUGAAUCAAAUACAUCUUCUAACAUGUAUGCGUUAUGUAAUUCAAUUUCAUCGUGUAUAUAUGAUGUACCACUGCAUAUAUAGCUAGCGACAAUUCUUUCAUAACUUUCGCCGUGAAUUCACAUACGGUAGAGAAAAGAAGACAUUAAAAUGAACAAGAACAAUACAAACUGCAAUAUUAAUCAACACUAGGAUCCAAGAUAAAGGGGUUCCGUUAGCAGAAAGCAGAGACUAAGAAGAUAUUCACCAAAAGACCAAGUACAUGCACUGGGGAUAUGCAUUAAAUUUUAUCCGAUCAAUAUGUAUCUAGAGUUAAAAUGAGUCUGGUUGACGAAAGAACCAUAUUGAGGAGCAUCGUAACAAAACAGGAUGGUCUGUUCCGCCGCAAUAAGGUGAUUGGCGCUCGUUUAAUCUCGUAUGAGAUAAAGAACUUCUUCGUGCCAAAAUCAUACUACACUGGAACUAUCCGAUUUGACAACGAGACACAAAAAGAAGCCUGUUUUUUCAAAUUUGCACAGAAUGAAGGAGAAGUAGCUAAGCAUAUUUUUAAAGCAGCUUCCAAAUUGAAUCAAGAUGGAAUCCUACAGCCCUGGUUUCUCACCAAUAACAAAUUAGAGAAGACGUGGAUUUUAUGUU
rnacentral:lncRNA from 1 species